rnacentral:rRNA from 1 species
GACGAACGCUGGCGGCGUGCCUAAUACAUGCAAGUCUAACGAGUGGCGGACUGGUGAGUAAUGUCUGGGAAACUGCCUGAUGGAGGGUGAUAACUACUGGAAACGGUAGCUAAUACCGCAUACCAUCGGAUGUGCCCAGAUGGGAUUAGCUAGUAUGUGGGGUAAAGGCUCACCUAGGCGACGAUCCCUAGCUGGUCUUAGAGGAUGACCAGCCACACUGGAACUGAGACACGGUCCAGACUCCUACGGUAGGCAGCAGUGGGGAAUAUUGCACAAGGGGCGCAAGCCUGAUACAGCCAUGCCGCGUGUAUGAAGAAGGCCUUCGGGUUGUAAAGUACUUUCAGCGGGGAGGCGUUAUCCGCAGAAGAAGCACCGGCUAACUCCGUGCCAGCAGCCGCGGUAAUAC